rnacentral:rRNA from 1 species
GAUGAACGCUGGCGGCGUGCCUAAUACAUGCAAGUCGAGCGAACAGACGAGGAGCUUGCUCCUCUGACGUUAGCGGCGGACGGGUGAGUAACACGUGGAUAACCUACCUAUAAGACUGGGAUAACUUCGGGAAACCGGAGCUAAUACCGGAUAAUAUAUUGAACCGCAUGGUUCAAUAGUGAAAGACGGUUUUGCUGUCACUUAUAGAUGGAUCCGCGCCGCAUUAGCUAGUUGGUAAGGUAACGGCUUACCAAGGCAACAAUGCGUGGCCGACCUGAGAGGGUGAUCGGCCACACUGGAACUGAGACACGGUCCAGACUCCUACGGGAGGCAGCAGUAGGGAAUCUUCCGCAGUGGGCGAAAGCCUGACGGAGCAACGCCGCGUGAGUGAUGAAGGUCUUCGGAUCGUAAAACUCUGUUAUUAGGGAAGAACAAAUGUGUAAGUAACUAUGCACGUCUUGACGGUACCUAAUCAGAAAGCCACGGCUAACUACGUG